CGACUGGCGGCGUGCUUAACACAUGCAAGUCGAACGGUGAUGAAGGAGCUUGCUCCUUCUGAUCAGUGGCGAACGGGUGAGUAACACGUGAGUAACCUGCCCCAGACUCUGGAAUAACAGUUGGAAACAGCUGCUAAUACCGGAUACGAGACGGAGAGGCAUCUCUACCGUCUGGAAAGUUUUUCGGUCUGGGAUGGACUCGCGGCCUAUCAGCUUGUUGGUGAGGUAGUGGCUCACCAAGGCGACGACGGGUAGCCGGCCUGAGAGGGCGACCGGCCACACUGGGACUGAGACACGGCCCCAGACUCCUACGGGAGGCAGCAGUGGGGAAUAUUGCACAAUGGGCGAAAGCCUGAUGCAGCGACGCCGCGUGAGGGAUGAAGGCCUUCGGGUUGUAAACCUCUUUCAGCAGGGAAGAAGCGAAAGUGACGGUACCUGCAGAAGAAGCACCGGCUAACUACGUGCCAGCAGCCGCGGUAAUACGUAGGGUGCGAGCGUUGUCCGGAAUUAUUGGGC
rnacentral:rRNA from 1 species